CUGCCGUAUACUGGGGGAUAACACUUAGAAAUAGGUGCUAAUACCGCAUAAGCGCACAGCUUCGCAUGAAGUGGUGUGAAAAACUCUGGUGGUAUACGAUGGUUCCGCGUCUGAUUAGCUUGUUGGUGGGGUAAUGGCUCACCAAGGCGACGAUCAGUAGCCGGCCUGAGAGGGUGAACGGCCACAUUGGGACUGAGACACGGCCCAAACUCCUACGGGAGGCAGCAGUGGGGAAUAUUGCACAAUGGGGGAAACCCUGAUGCAGCGACGCCGCGUGAGUGAAGAAGUAUUUCGGUAUGUAAAGCUCUAUCAGCAGGGAAGAAAAUGACGGUACCUGAUUAAGAAGCCCCGGCUAACUACGUGCCAGCAGCCGCGGUAAUACGUAGGGGGCAAGCGUUAUCCGGAUUUACUGGGUGUAAAGGGAGCGUAGACGGCAGCACAAGUCUGAAGUGAAAUGCCGGGGCUUAACCCCGGAACUGCUUUGGAAACUGUGCAGCUAGAGUGCAGGAGAGGUAAGUGGAAUUCCUAGUGUAGCGGUGAAAUGCGUAGAUAUUAGGAGGAACACCAGUGGCGAAGGCGGCUUACUGGACUGUAACUGACGUUGAGGCUCGAAAGCGUGGGGAGCAAACAGGAUUAGAUACCCUGGUAGUCCACGCUGUAAACGAUGA
rnacentral:rRNA from 1 species